rnacentral:rRNA from 1 species
UACGUAGGUGGCAAGCGUUGUCCGGAUUUAUUGGGUUUAAAGGGUGCGUAGGCGGUUCCAUAAGUCAGUGGUGAAAUACAGCCGCUUAACGGUUGAGGUGCCAUUGAUACUGCGGAACUUGAGUACAGACGAGGUAGGCGGAAUUGACGGUGUAGCGGUGAAAUGCUUAGAUAUCGUCAAGAACACCGAUAGCGAAGGCAGCUUACUAGACUGUAACUGACGCUGAGGCACGAAAGUGUGGGGAUCAAACAGGAUUAGAAACCCUAGUAGU